rnacentral:rRNA from 1 species
GCACAAGCAGCGGAGCGUGUGGUUUAAUUCGACGCAACGCGAAGCACCUCACCUAGGCUUGACAUGCAUCUGCAAUGGGCGGAAACGUCCAUGCCUUCGAGGGUGAUGCACAGGUGCUGCAUGGCUGUCGUCAGCUCGUGUCGUGAGAUGUUGGGUUAAGUCCCGCAACGAGCGCAACCCUUGCCCGGUGUUACACGUGUCACCGGGGACUGCCGGCCAGCGUGUCGGAGGAAGGCGGGGAUGACGUCAAGUCAGCAUGGCCCGUACGCCUAGGGCGACACACACGCUACAAUGGCCGGAGAAAUGCGUUGCCACGGAGCAAUCGGGCGCCAAUCGCGAAGCCCGGUCGCAGUGCAGAUUGGGGGCUGCAACUCGCCCCCAUGAAGGCGGAGUUGCUAGUAACCGCGUGUCAGCAUAGCGCGGUGAAUACGUUCCCGGGCA